CAGGAUGUAGCUCAGUGGUAGAGCAUUUGCCUAGUGUGCACAAAGCCCUGGGUUCAAUUCCUAGUACUAUGG
rnacentral:tRNA from 1 species